rnacentral:rRNA from 1 species
UACGGAAGGUCCAGGCGUUAUCCGGAUUUAUUGGGUUUAAAGGGAGCGCAGGCGUUAUUUUAAGCGUGACGUGAAAUGUAGCCGCUCAACGGCUGAGUUGCGUCGCGAACUGGGAUUCUUGAGUGAGUGCGACGUCAGCGGAAUUCGUGGUGUAGCGGUGAAAUGCUUAGAUAUCACGAAGAGCCCCGAUUGCGAAGGCAGCUGACGAGCCCUUUACUGACGCUAAAGCUCGAAGGUGCGGGUAUCGAAC